CCCUUAGAUGUUCUGGGCUGCACGCGCGCUACACUGAAGCGUUCAACGAGUAUUUCACCUUGCCCGGGAGGGUUGGGUAAUCUUUUUAAAACGCUUCGUGAUGGGGAUAGAUUAUUGCAAUUAUUAAUCUUCAACGAGGAAUUCCUAGUAAGCGCGAGUCAUCAGCUCGUGCUGAUUACGUCCCUGCCCUUUGUACACACCGCCCGUCGCUCCUACCGAUUGGGUGCUCCGGUGAAUUGUUUGGACUGCUGUCAGUCUUUUCGGCUGUCGGCGAGAAGCUCUGUGAACCUUAGCACCUAGAGGAAGGAGAAGUCGUAACA
rnacentral:rRNA from 1 species